AAAAAGCGCCGAAAAUCAGUGAUAAAAACCCAAACUGUGGCACAAAACCACACAAAUUUGGGGUGAAAAUGGCGGCACCCAAAAAUCUGGGGGGUUCUGAUGCUCUGAAUCCCUUGGAGGUUCCUAAAAAACUCCCACCCCAAAUUUGGCCUAAAAACUCCAAAAUAAUUCUAAGAUCCAACAGGAAAUGCCCAAAUUUGGGUGAAAAACCCCAAAACAUGAUGGAAAAACCCCAAAUGUAGGUGGGAAACCCAAAAUCUGAUGGGAAACCCCAAAAAUAGGGCACAAAACCCUGAAAAAACCCAAAGCCUGACAGGAAAUGCCCAAGUUUUGGUGGGAAACCUCAAAAUCUGUUGGGAAACUGCAAAAUUUGGGCACAAACCCAAAAACAACCUAAAAUCUGAGAGAAAACUUUCUAAUUUUGGCAUCAACCCUAAAAAAACUCAACAACUUGACAGGAAACACCUAAAUAGAGGUGAGAAACCCCAAAUUUGGACACAAAGCCCCGAAACAACCAAAAAAUCUAAUGAGAAAUACCCAAAUUUCGGCAAAACUCCAAAAAAAACUGGCUGGAAACUCCCAAAUUCUGUCGCUAACCCCAAAACGUAACAGAAAAAUCCCAAUAUUUUUCUGUUUUUCCCCAAAACCUGUUGGUAAAUUUGAGCACAGGGGAACUCAAACUCCCCAAAAAUCCCAUCAUGCCCUGAAACUCCCAAAACUGGGUUUUUUUCCCCAAAAUCCCCUCACCUCCACCAGUUUCUUGCUGUUUUUCUUGGGAGGGUUGGGCGCCCGUUGGGCCCCGUUGGGCCCCAGCCGAUGCUUCUGGAAGGUCAAUUUGAGCCCUUCCUCCUGUGGGGAAAGCGUGAGGGGAAAGGGUCACAAAAUGGAGGAAAAGGCAGGAAAAUCGUGAGGGGAAAAGAUGGGAAAAUUGUGAGGGCAUAAGUGGGAAAAUCAUGAGGGGAAAGGUGGGAAAAUCGUGAGGGGAACAGGAUCACAAAAUGGAGGAAAAGGCAGGAAAAUUGUGAGGGGAAAUGUGGGAAAAUUGUGAGGAGAAAAGGUGGAGAAAAUUGUGAGGGGAUUGGGUCACAAAAUGGAGGGAAAAGGCAGGAAAAUUGUGAGGGAAAAGGCGGGAAAGUCGUGAGGGGAAAGGCGGGAAAAUUGUGAGGAGAAAAGGUGGAGAAAAUUGGUAGGGAAAAGGAAAGAAAAUUUUGAGGGAAAAGGUGGGAAAAUUGUGAGGAAAAAGGUGGGAAAAUUGUGAGGAGAAAAUGUGGGAAAAUCAUGAGGGAAAAGAUGGGAAAAUUGUGAGGGAAUAGGUGGAGAAAAUUGGUAGGGAAAAGGUGGGAAAAUUGUGAGGGAAAACGCAGGAAAAUUGUGAGGGAAAAUGUGGGAAAAUCGUGAGGGCAAUCGGUGAAAAAAUCGUGAGGGGAACAGGAUCACAAAAUGGAGGAAAAGGCAGGAAAAUUGUGAGGGGAAAUGCAGGAAAAUUGUGAGGAAAAAGGCAGGAAAUUUGUGAGGGAAAAAGUGGGAAAAUUGUGAGGGAAAAGGUGGAGAAAAUUGGUAGGGAAAAGGUGGGAAAAUUGUGAGGGGACGGGGUCGCAAAAUGGAGGAAAAGGCGGGAAAAUCGUGAGGGCAUGGGGUCACAAAAUGGAGGAAAAGGCAGGAAAAUUGUGAGGGAAAAGGCCGGAAAAUUGCGAAGGAAAAAGUGGGAAAAUUGUGAGAGAAAAGGUGGAGAAAAUUGGGAGGGGAAAUGUGGGAAAAUCGUGAGGGGAACAGGAUCACAAAAUGGAGAAAAAGGUGGGAAAAUCGUGAGGAAAAAGGCGGGAAAAUCGUGAGGGCAUGGAGUCACAAAAUGGAGGAAAAGGCGGGAAAAUUGUGAGGAGAAAAAGGUGGGAAAUUUGUGAGGGAAAAGG
ensembl:lncRNA